rnacentral:rRNA from 1 species
GAAAGCCCUCGGCUCAACCGGGGAAUUGCUUGGCGAACUGGCAGACUUGAGGCAGGUAGGGGCAGUUGGAACUCUUGGUGGACCGGUGGAAUGCGUAGAUAUCAAGAGGAACGCCAGAGGCGAAGGCGAACUGCUGGGCCUGUCCGGACGCUGAGGUGCGAAAGCCAGGGUAGCGAACGGGAUUAGAUACCCCGGUAGUCCUGGCCCUAAACGAUGUCCACUAGAUCGAGGAUUCUCUGAAGGAUUCUUGGUCGAAAUGAAAACGUUAAGUGGACCGCCUGGGGAGUACGGUCGCAAGGCUAAAACUCAAAGGAAUUGACGGGGGCUCACACAAGCGGUGGAGCAUGUUGCUUAAUUCGAUGCAACGCGAAGAACCUUAUCCUGGGCUUGACAUGCUUGGAUGCCCAUCUGGAAACAGAGUAGGCUGCCCUUCGGGGUGAAACUUGCACGGGUGCUGCAUGGCUGUCGUCAGCUCGUGUCGUGAGAUGUCGGGUUAAGUCCCAUAACGAGCGAAACCCUUGUCACUAGUUGCCAGCGCGUAAUGGCGGGGACUCUAGUGAGACUGCCGGUGUUAAACCGGAGGAAGGUGGGGAUGACGUCAAGUCCUCAUGGCCUUUAUGCCCAGGGCUGCAAACGUGCUACAAUGGCCGGUACAAACCGAAGCGAAACGGCGACGUGGAGCAAAUCAGAAAAAGCCGGCCUCAGUUCGGAUUGGAGUCUGCAACUCGACUCCAUGAAGUCGGAAUCGCUAGUAAUCGCGUAUCAGAACGACGCGGUGAAUGAGUUCCUGAGCCUUGUACACACCGCCCGUCAAGUCAUGGAAGCCGAGAGCACCCGAAGUCGGGGUAAUUCAGC